GGAAAUAGUGGAAGUUAAUUUGUUCUUAGGAAAUUAAUAGGAAUAAGCAAAUCCUUUGGAUUUUUUACACGUGAAUGAAAUCAUGUGUUAUGUAGUCUGUACACGUGAAUGUGUAUGAUAUUGCUCCCUUUUUACUGAAUUAGUGGAAGUUGAGCUUGAAGGCGUGGAAAAGGAUUGAUUUCACAUUCUGUUCGUAUGUAUUUGCUCAGCAACCUCUGUAUGUUCUCAGUUAAGUAUUGGAUAUGCUCUGGCUAUGCAACCUCUGUAUGUUCUCAGUUAAGUAUAUAUUGGACAUGUAAACAGAAAAGAUUCUGACAUGAUGGGGGAAGUUCUUCCAACAAGUGGGGAGACAGAGACAACCAAUUAAAAAGUGCAUACAACUUAGAUGUGUGAUUAUGUACCUCCACUCUCCCUGGUGAUCCCAACACAGGUUGUAAACUCUCCUUGAUGAUCCACAUGAUUAUAGCAAUACAUACAAAUGAGAAAUACUACCAGACAAGUAUCCUCACAAAUGAACUUUUUCAAAUGAUGGGAAGACAACUUAGAGGUGUGGUUACGUACCUUCACUCUCCCUGAUGAUUCCGGGAGAUCUCUCGCAUAACAAUGGUUGAGGGUACCCAUUAUAUGCACGCACCAGAAAUCGUCCAGCCAUGUUUCAGGCAAGUACCGAUAUGGUUGAUCAGGAAAUGAUGAAGUUUCCUUUGUUCUGUGAUGGUGCGAGAUCAGGCCAUGAUGGUGUUUCCUUUGUUUCUGUAAUGAUGUGGUUUCCUUUGCUCUUGCCCUCAAAUUGUGUGUAGUUUCCUUCAAAUGAUGGUGCGGUAGAGAUGCAGAAAUAAUGGCGAGGUGGGAGGGUAGAAUCGUCAUAUUGAAAAUAUGUAGGACGACCAAAAGGACGACGAAAUAGGGGGAGAAGGGGGAACAUGUUCCUUCUUUUUAAGUAGU